rnacentral:rRNA from 1 species
GACGAACGCUGGUGGCGUGCUUAACACAUGCAAGUCGAACGAGACGAUUGAAAGCUUGCUUUCGAAAGUCGAGUGGCAAACGGGUGAGUAACGCGUAGACAACCUGCCUUUGAGAUGGGGACAACAGUUCGAAAGGACUGCUAAUACCGAAUGUUGUAUAUUUUCCACAUGGAAGAUAUGUUAAAGAUGGCCUCUAUUUAUAAGCUAUCGCUCAAAGAUGGGUCUGCGUCUGAUUAGCUAGUUGGUGGGGUAACGGCCUACCAAGGCGACGAUCAGUAGCCGGUCUGGAGGGAUGAACGGCGACAUGGGGACUGAGACACGGCCCGGACUCCUACGGGAGGCAGCAGUGGGGAAUCUUCCACAAUGGACGAAAGUCUGAUGGAGCAACGCCGCGUGAGUGAAGAAGGGUUUCGGCUCGUAAAGCUCUGUUGUCGGGGACGAAUGUGCAUUACUUGAAUAAAGUAGUGUAAUGACGGUACCUGACGAGGAAGCCACGGCUAACUACGUGCCAACCGCCGCGGUAA